rnacentral:rRNA from 1 species
AGGAUACGGUUAACGGAGCGAAAGCGACGUUCAACCUCAAAAGAAGCAGAGGGGGCUUAGUGGUGGGGUGACUGCGUACCUUUUGUAUAAUGGGUCAGCGACUUAUAUUCUGUAGCAAGGUUAACCGCAUAGGGGAGCCGUAGGGAAACCGAGUCUUAACCGGGCGUUAAGUUGCAGGGUAUAGACCCGAAACCCGGUGAUCUAGCCAUGGGCAGGUUGAAGGUUGGGUAACACUAACUGGAGGACCGAACCGACUAAUGUUGAAAAA